rnacentral:misc_RNA from 1 species
GAUGAAGAAGCAGCGAAAUGCGAUAAGUAAUGUGAAUUGCAGAAUUCAGUGAAUCAUCGAAUCUUUGAACGCACCUUGCGCUCCUUGGUAUUCCGAGGAGCAUGCCUGUUUGAGUGUCAUUAAUAUAUCAACCUCUUCAGCUUAUGCUUGUUGAGUGUUGGAUGGUGGGGGUUUGCUGGUGUCUUAUGAAGUCAGCUCCUCUGAAAUGCAUUAGCGGAACAAUUUGUUGACCGUUCAUUGGUGUGAUAAAAAUAUCUACGCUAUUGACGUCAGUCAGUUCAGCUUCUAACAGUCCAUUGACUUGGACAAAUUUUUCAUUAAUGUGACCUCAAAUCAGGUAGGACUACCCGCUGAACUUAAGCAUAUCAAUAAGCGGAGGA